UACGUAGGGUGCAAGCGUUGUCCGGAAUUAUUGGGCGUAAAGGGCUCGUAGGCGGUCCAUCGCGUCGGGAGUGAAAAGCUGGGGCUUAACCCCAGUCCUGCUUCCGAUACGGGUGGACUAGAGGUAGGUAGGGGAGAACGGAAUUCCUGGUGUAGCGGUGAAAUGCGCAGAUAUCAGGAGGAACACCGGUGGCGAAGGCAGGUCUCUGGGCCACUACUGACGCUGAGAAGCGAAAGCAUGGGGAGCGAACAGG
rnacentral:rRNA from 1 species